rnacentral:rRNA from 1 species
UUGAACGCUGGCGGCAUGCUUUACACAUGCAAGUCGAACGGUAACAGGCCUUCGGGUGCUGACGAGUGGCGAACGGGUGAGUAAUGCAUCGGAACGUGCCCAGAGGUGGGGGAUAACGCAGCGAAAGCUGUGCUAAUACCGCAUGUGAUCUGAGGAUGAAAGCGGGGGACCAAGCAGCAAUGUUUGGCCUCGCGCCUCUGGAGCGGCCGAUGGCAGAUUAGGUAGUUGGUGGGGUAAAGGCCUACCAAGCCGACGAUCUGUAGCUGGUCUGAGAGGACGACCAGCCACACUGGGACUGAGACACGGCCCAGACUCCUACGGGAGGCAGCAGUGGGGAAUUUUGGACAAUGGGCGCAAGCCUGAUCCAGCAAUGCCGCGUGCGGGAAGAAGGCCUUCGGGUUGUAAACCGCUUUUGUACGGAACGAAAAGGCUCUGGCUAAUACCUGGGGCUGAUGACGGUACCGUAAGAAUAAGCACCGGCUAACUACGUG